GGCAGCACGAUGUAGCAAUACAUUGGUGGCGACCGGCGCACGGGUGAGUAACGCGUAUGCAACCUACCUAUCAGAGGGGAAUAACCCGGCGAAAGUCGGACUAAUACCGCAUAAAACAGGGGUUCCACAUGGAAAUAUUUGUUAAAGAAUUAUCGCUGAUAGAUGGGCAUGCGUUCCAUUAGAUAGUUGGUGAGGUAACGGCUCACCAAGUCCACGAUGGAUAGGGGUUCUGAGAGGAAGGUCCCCCACACUGGUACUGAGACACGGACCAGACUCCUACGGGAGGCAGCAGUGAGGAAUAUUGGUCAAUGGGCGAGAGCCUGAACCAGCCAAGUCGCGUGAAGGAUGAAGGAUCUAUGGUUUGUAAACUUCUUUUAUAUGGGAAUAAAGUGAGGAACGUGUUCCUUUUUGUAUGUACCAUAUGAAUAAGCAUCGGCUAACUCCGUGCCAGCAGCCGCGGUAAUACGGAGGAUGCGAGCGUUAUCCGGAUUUAUUGGGUUUAAAGGGUGCGUAGGUGGUUAAUUAAGUCAGCGGUGAAAGUUUGUGGCUCAACCAUAAAAUUGCCGUUGAAACUGGUUGACUUGAGUAUAUUUGAGGUAGGCGGAAUGCGUGGUGUAGCGGUGAAAUGCAUAGAUAUCACGCAGAACUCCGAUUGCGAAGGCAGCUUACUAAACUAUAACUGACACUGAAGCACGAAAGCGUGGGGAUCAAACAGGAUUAGAUACCCUGGUAGUCCACGCAGUAAACGAUGAUUACUAGCUGUUUGCGAUACACAGUAAGCGGCACA
rnacentral:rRNA from 1 species